rnacentral:rRNA from 1 species
AGAGUUUGAUCCUGGCUCAGGAUGAACGCUAGCUACAGGCUUAACACAUGCAAGUCGAGGGGAAACGACAGAGAGUGCUUGCACUUUUUGGGCGUCGACCGGCGAAUGGGUGAGUAACGCGUAUCCAACCUGCCCUUGACUGAGGGAUAGCCCAGUGAAAACUGAAUUAAUACCUCAUGUUCUCCUCAGACGGCAUCAGACGAGGAGCAAAGAUUAAUCGGUCAAGGAUGGGGAUGCGUCUGAUUAGGUAGUAGGCGGGGUAACGGCCCACCUAGCCAACGAUCAGUAGGGGUUCUGAGAGGAAGGUCCCCCACAUUGGUACUGAGACACGGACCAAACUCCUACGGGAGGCAGCAGUGAGGAAUAUUGGUCAAUGGGCGAAAGCUGAACCAGCCAAGUAGCGUGCAGGACGACGGCCCUAUGGGUUGUAAACUGCUUUUAUAGGGGAAUAAAGUUAUCCACGUGUGGAUAUUUGCAUGUACCCUAUGAAUAAGGACCGGCUAAUUCCGUGCCAGCAGCCGCGGUAAUACGGAAGGUCCGGGCGUUAUCCGGAUUUAUUGGGUUUAAAGGGAGCGUAGGCGGUAUAUUAAGCGUGUUGUGAAAUGUAGGUGCUCAACAUCUGACUUGCAGCGCGAACUGGUUUACUUGAGUACGCACAACGUAGGCGGAAUUCGUCGUGUAGCGGUGAAAUGCAUAGAUAUGACGAAGAACUCCGAUUGCGAAGGCAGCUUACGGAGCGCAACUGACGCUGAAGCUCGAAAGUGCGGGUAUCGAACAGGAUUAGAUACCCUGGUAGUCCGCACGGUAAACGAUGGAUGCCCGCUCUGAGUCCUUGUGGAUUUGGGGCCAAGCGAAAGCAUUAAGCAUCCCACCUGGGGAGUACGCCGGCAACGGUGAAACUCAAAGGAAUUGACGGGGGCCGCACAAGCGGAGGAACAUGUGGUUUAAUUCGAUGAUACGCGAGGAACCUUACCCGGGCUUGAAUUGCAGGAGAACGAUCCAGAGAUGGUGAGGCUUCGGGGCUCCUGUGAAGGUGCUGCAUGGUUGUCGUCAGCUCGUGCCGUGAGGUGUCGGCUUAAGUGCCAUAACGAGCGCAACCCCUCUCCUUAGUUGCCAUCAGGUUUAGCUGGGCACUCUGGGGACACUGCCACCGUAAGGUGUGAGGAAGGUGGGGAUGACGUCAAAUCAGCACGGCCCUUACGUCCGGGGCUACACACGUGUUACAAUGGCGUGUACAGAGAGUUGGUGACAUGCAAAUGUCAUCUAAUCCUAAAAGCACGUCUCAGUUCGGACUGGGGUCUGCAACCCGACCCCACGAAGCUGGAUUCGCUAGUAAUCGCGCAUCAGCCAUGGCGCGGUGAAUACGUUCCCGGGCCUUGUACACACCGCCCGUCAAGCCAUGAAAGCCGGGGGUGCCUGAAGUCCGUGACCGUAAGGAUCGGCCUAGGGCAAAACUGG